rnacentral:lncRNA from 1 species
UAACUAAAGUAAAUAGUAGUAAUGAAUGCUAUAAAUAAAAGAAAGAAAUCUUUACACAUCUACUCGCCGUCUUCCUACGGGACGGGCUCGAAAACCAAAUCCUCCUGAUCUAAAAUGGUUAAGUAAGGAAUGAGCUACAGUACCCCAGUAAAGACAUCACACUAUUUCACUAUCACAGAAAUAAAGGUUGGUAGAAAACAAAAACGACCAAUGCAGCACAAUUUAUAACAAACUCAUUUAUCAAUAAUAAAACUUUUUACUGUCCACUUACCUCGGUGAGAUCUAUGAAAAUAACUUAUGAAAAACAGCAACAUUAUAAACAUCAUGAAAUCAUACACACUCUGAAACAUAACGCAUGUCAUACUUUUAAUAUUUCAAUCAUCAAGCAAUGAUUUUUUCUCUUUUAUCAGCCUACCAGUAUCCGUGAGAACCCAUAGUGGACUCCGCUACACGUGAACCAUUCACCUUAAUAACUUAAUUCCAGAGUCGUCCCCAUACCCCGUCCGGUAUGGGGGCCAAAACUAUAAACCUCAAUACCCCGUCCGGUAUGAGGAUGAAACUGGCCGUCCCCAUAUCCCGUCUAGUAUGCACACCAAAACACAUAAAGUCUCUAUACCCCGUCCGAUAUGAGAGACCACGUUCCCGGUAGGGUUCCUUAUAGAUCGGGUCCGUCCACCGUCUCCCAGGAUAUCUAGUGAGGCUGUCAAGUUAUCUAUUUAUCAAUUCACAUAACUUUUCUAUUUUUCUUAAUCUCGAUUACCCAAUCAAACAUGAAUACGUAAACCAGUAACGAACACCAAACAAGACAAUACAACAUCGGGUUCACAAUAAUUCAAACCAUAAUAAAUUAAACAAUGAUUUAUGCAUACGAAACCAUAGAAUAAAAACAUCAGAUACCAUAAUGCAUUUAAACUGUAAAACAACUAAAACAGCAACUGACCGAAAUUAUAUCAGAUUCGGACUCCAUUAGCAACCUUAAUUAACUAUACAUAUCUAUUAAUUCAUAAAAUACCGUUUUAUCAUUUAUUAAACUUUAAUGCUGUGAUAGGAAAUAGGAUGAGAGAUUCUUACUUGUUUCGGAGUCUGAAAUCGGGUUCUCACUGUGCCUACGGACCCAUCAAAUGGGCUGAGAUACCUGCACUUUUCCUACUGAGAGCAUCUGCUAUCACGUUACCCUUACCCGGAUAGUACAAGAUAUCACAAUCAUAGUCUUUAAGGAGUUCCAUCCACCUUCUCUGACGCAUGUUAAGAUCCUUCUGAGUGAAUAUGUGUUUCAAACUCUUCUGAUCGGUAUAAAUCUGAAAGGUCUCUCCGUAUAAAUAAUGGCGCCAGGUUUUUAAGGCGUGUAUGAUUGCGGCAAGCUCCAAGUCAUGGGUGGGGUAAUUCUUCUCAUGAUUCUUUAACUGUCUAGACCUAUAAAUUAUGACCUUCUCAUGUUGCAUUAGAACACAACCCAAGCCUAGAUAGGAGGCAUCACUAUAAACUGUAUAUCCCUCCGAUCCACUCGGUAAAGCCAAUACGGGUGCAGUAGUCAGCCGCUUCUUUAAUUCUGAAAAACUUCUUUCACAGUACUCAUUUCAUUCAAACUUGGCAUUUUUCUUUAUGAGUCGGGUUAGGGGAACUGUUAGACUAGAGAAUCCUUCGACGAACCUGCAGUAAUAACCUGCCAUUCCCAGGAAGUUACAGAUUUCCUUAACUGAUGUCAGCUUCUCCCAGCCAAGUAUCGCUUCAACCUUUUCAGGAUUUACUGAUAUCCCUUCCUUUGAUAUGGUGUGUCCUAGGAAGGCGGUUUGCUCAAGCCAGAAUCCACACUUACCCAACUUCGCAUAUAACCUCUUAUUUCUAAGGACCUGCAAAACUUGGGCAAGAUGCUGAGCAUGUUCUUCUUUGCUUUUUGAGUAGACUAAGAUAUCAUCGAUGAACAUGAUGACAAAUUGAUCCAAGAACUCUCUGAAGACCCUAUUCAUCAGAUCCAUAAAGAUUGUCGGGGCAUUGGUUAGCCCAAAUGGCAUGACCAGGAACUCAUAGUGUCCGUACUUGGUUCGGAAGGCCGUCUUGGGGAUGUCUUCUAUUCUUAUCUUCACCCGAUGGUAAUCUGAUCGUAGGUCUAUUUUAGAGAAGACCUGUGCACCCUGCAGCUGAUCAAAGAGAUCAUCAAUCCGGGGAAGGGGAUACUUGUUUUUGACCGUAACCUUGUUCAAUCCUCUGUAAUCAAUGCACAGUCUCAACGUUCCAUCUCCCUUCCUUGCAAAAGUGACUCCAGCACCCCAAAGGGACACACUGUGUCUAAUAAAACCACUAUCUUGCAAUUCGGUGAUCUGUUUCCUCAGCUCUUCCAUCUCAAUACGGCUCAUGCGGUAAGGAGCAACUGAAAUGGGCUGGGUACCUGGCUGUAGGUCUAUAGUGAACUCGAUUUCUCUGUCCACUGGUAGACUGGGUAGUUCGUCCGGAAACACAUCUGGGAAGUCUAGGACUACCGGAAUCUCUUGAAUACAAAUUUCCUUCUUGGACUUACCUAGUCAGAGAAAACAGCAAGAUUAAGGCACUAGAAGUUAAGAAAACUUGCCAUCAAAGAAUACGUACUGAAUAAUUUUAUUAAUUUGUAAAUGGCUCCUCGUUAGGAGGAUUAAAUACAACUUUCUUGUUAAAGCAAUCUAUAGUGGUGUGAUAUGCCGCUAGCCAAUCCAUUCCUAAGAUUUCAUCAAAAUUCCCCGUGUCUAACCUUAUCAGGUCUACCCUCAGUUUCUUAUUUGCUAUCUCCACGGCACAAGCCCUAUAGAUAGCUUCCCCUAGUAGUGUUUCACCCCCAGCAGUAGACACAAACAACAAUGAUUCAAGUUUAUCAGGUGAUACAUUAAUUUUGGAAGCAAAAGCAUGUGAAACAAAGGAGUGCGAUGCACCAGUGUCAAAUAAAACAUGAGCAAUAUGGUCACAGAUAGUAUACAUACCCUGUACUACAUCCGAGUCAGCGUCGACAUCGUGCUGGGUAAGGUUGUAAGCUCUGCCCUAGAUAGGAGGCCUCCCUUGAUUCUGGUUCCUCAGGCAUUCUCUGGCAUAAUGCUGGGCACUGCCACAAAUACGACAAGUGUUGUUGGGGCGGUAGCAGGGUCGGUCCCCGUGAUCUCUGCCGCAGUGUUGACAGAUUUUCCCACGUGCUGCCCCUGGAGCCUGAGGAGGGGCCUAGAUGGCUGGUCUGGGCCUCUUAUUUGGUUGGGCAGGCGCAGUAGGUGCUGGCCUACGGAACAGAGCUGAGGGUCGGGAACUCCCUCCUGGCUGAGGACGGGUGCUGAAGCUUCUUUCCACAAUCUGUGCCUUUGCUAGGACUGCUGAAUAUGUCUUGAGCUCUAGUACUAACAAGUGUUGUCUGAUCUCUAGGCGGAGACCUAACUGGAAUCUCCUGGGCUUUCGGCCCUCAUCCAUCAAUGUCUCUGGGGAGUAUCGGCCCAGCUCGAGGAACUUACGAGCAUACUCUGAUACUGUCAUGUUUCCCUGAACCAGUUGAACAAACUCCGUUUCCUUUAGGUGUCGGAGGUGCUCAGGGAGAUACUCUGCAUGGAAGGCCGCUAAGAACUGCUCCCAAGUGACUGGUGUAGGUAGGGUGGUCUGCUUGAGCUCCCACCAACGACCUGCUUCCCCUACCAGCAUGUAGGAAGCAAGGGCAACCCUCUGCUCGGGAACCACUCCCAAGAUCUUGAAAGUCUUCUCAGUCUCCGCCAACCAGUACUGGGCAUCUUCGAUAGAGGACUCCCCUGCAAAAGUAGAAGGGUUCAAUCUCUUGUACCUCUCUACGUAGCCCGGGUCAAUCAAGGAGGGAGCUGGGUCCCGUGGGAGAGGGACUGGGCCCGGCUGGGGAUAGACUGGGGGGCCCUGUGGUGGCACUUGCUGAUAUAGUGGGGGCACUGAAUUGUACUGUGGCGGUGCAGGGCAGUACUGUGGCUGAGGCACCGAAUUAUACUGCGGCGGUGGUACCGGGUGGUACUGUGGAGGAGCAGGCUCGUGCCGGGGUGGCUCGGGAUCCGCUUGCUGUAGCGAUGGCUCAACCUGUGGUACUGGGGGAGAGUCGGGUAACUCCCUUCUCUCCUCUCGACCUUGCUGGGCAGCAAUGAUCCUUUCUAGCAUCUUAAAUAUUCUAUCUACAUCUUUCCGAAGCGAAUCAUCUCGGGCUGCUUGGUCUAGUGGGGGUCUUCCUCUCCUCAUUUCUCUGCACCUGCAUUUUACAACGAAUGGUUGAGUAACGAUUUAUCAGUUGGUAUUUCUCUAAGUAUUAUUGUGUAAGGACGAGUUCGAGGAACGCGACUCUGAUACCAACUGUAACGGCCCAGAAAUUAAGAAAAUGUAUGUAUAUAAAAAAUUCUAAGUGCGGAGCGAAAUAAAAAUUUGAUUAUAUCCGUACACAUACCAAACGUAUAACGUAUGAAAAAAUAANNNNNNNNNNNNNNNNNNNNNNNNNNNNNNNNNNNNNNNNNNNNNNNNNNNNNNNNNNNNNNNNNNNNNNNNGUAUUAAACGUAUGAAAAAAUAAACUAACUAAAGUAAAUAUUAGUAAUGAAUGCUAUAAAUAAAACUAUGAAAUCUUUAUACAUCUACUCGCCGUCUUCAUGCGGGACGGACUCGAAACCCAACUUCUCUUGAUCUGAAAUGGUAAGGAAUGAACUACACUACCCCAGUAAAGACAUCACACUAUCUCACUGUCAAAGAAAUAAAGGUUGGUAGGAAAUAAAAACGAUCAAUUGAGCACAAUUUAUAACAAACUUAUUUAUUAAUAAUAAAAUCCCUUACUGUCCACUUACCUCAGUGAGAUCCAUGAAAACAACUUAUGAAAAACAGCAACACUAUAAACAUCAUAAAAUCAUACGCACUCUGAAACAUAACACAUAUCAUACUUUUAAUAUUUCAAUCAUCAAGCAACGAUUUUUUCUCUUUUAUCAGCCUACCAGUAUCCGUGGGGAUCCAUAGGGGUCUCUGCUACACGUGAACCAUUCACCUUAAUAACUUAAUUCAGGCCGUCCCCAUACCACGUUCGGUAUGGGUGCCAAAACCAUAAACCUCAAUACCCCGUCCGGUAUGAGUGU